UCUCUUGUCGUAUGGGAGGUUGUUAUGAGUUAUUUACUAUUCUUCACAAAUUGCCAUAUGAGAGCUAAGUUUGUAGUUAUAUUUGUCUGCGAUGAUGCUAAUUAAUGUGUUAUUAUUCCAAAUUGCUUAUGUAUGUUUGUAGGGUGAUACUAUCAUGUGUUGAUGCGUUAUGUUAAAAUUUUAUUCAGGUUUAUUUGCUUAUUAUGUACAAUGAUGUUGGAGAUGAUUCAGGUUCAUUUUUGUACCUUGACUUAGUUUAUGCUAUCUUGCAUUUUAUCAUACCUCUAUCAUGAUUUAGCUCAGUCGGCCUAUGAUGC
rnacentral:lncRNA from 1 species